rnacentral:ncRNA from 1 species
UAAACAACAGGUUUGGUCCUGGCCUUUUUAUUAGUUGUUUGCAGAAUUAUACAUGCAAGAAUCCCCAUGCCGGUGAGGAUGCCCUCUAUACCACAUCUUAGGCUAAAAGGAGCGAGUAUCAAGCACACUACAAAGUAUCGCACAACACCCUGCUUUGCCACACCCCCACAGGAGACAGCAGAUAUAAAAUUAAGCAAUAAAUGAAAGUUUGACUGAGUCAUGCAUCCACCAGGGUUGAUAAAGUUCGUGCCAGCCACCGCGGUCAUAUGAUUAACCCGAAUUAAUAAAACCCGGCGUAGAAGGUGUUUUAGAAAUGCAAAAAAUAAAGACUAAGCUUUAUCUGAGUCGUAGAAAACUCCAGAUAAAGUACAAACCAAAAAUGAAAGUAAUCUUAAUAAGUCUGAAUGCACGAAGCUAAGGCCCAAACUUAUUAGAUACCCCACUAUGCUUAACUGUAAACAUAAAAACUUGUAUAACAAAAGUUUUCACCUGAGAACUACUAGCAAUAGCUUAAAACUCAAAGGACUUGGCAGUGCUUUACACCCACGUAGAGGAGCCUGUUCUAUAAUUGAUAAACCCAGAUACACCUCACCACCCCUUGCUAAUCCAGCCUAUAUACCGCCAUCUUCAGCAAACCCAAUUAUGGAAACAAAGUAAACACAAGUAUAUUGCAUAAAAACGUUAGGUCGAGGUGUAGCCAAUGGAGUGGGAAGAAAUGGGCUACAUUUUCUUACUGAAGAACAGCAGACACAAGUCUUUAUGAAACCUAAGGACCUAAGGAGGAACCAAGAAUAGAGAGCUUGGUUGAACUAGCAUGUACCACCGCCCAUCACCCCCCUCAAGUACCCAAAAAUUUUCAACCUAAAAACUAAUAAAUAUAAGAGGAGACAAGUCAUAACAUACUGGAAAGUGUGCUUGGAAAAAAAGUGUA